rnacentral:misc_RNA from 1 species
AGACAAUAUACUUCAUACUGCAAAUUCCAGCAGAAAAUUUUACUUCAUGGUGUAUAUUUGAAAUGUAAAGCCAGAAGAAUGCAGAUCAGCAUCCUGACCAUAUUUGAUCCAAUUUUAUAUCAUUAAGUACCAUCUCAACCAUAUUUGAACCAAUUUUCUACCAUCACGUAUAAAACUUAGAGCGGGUGUAUAUUUGAAAUGUAAAGCCAGAAGAAUGCAGAUCAGCAUCCUGACCAUAUUUGAUCCAAUUUUAUAUCAUUAAGUACCAUCUCAACCAUAUUUGAACCAAUUUUCUACCAUCACGUAUAAAACUUAGAGCG